rnacentral:lncRNA from 1 species
GUUUAAGUUGCAACUAUAUACAAAAUGGGGCCUGUUUCCUUCCCAGCAGUCUUAAAAUAAACUCCUGAAACCAUGCUCCUUCCGCAGGGUUGGUUCGACCUCUUCCUUUUCCUGGGGUUCAAUACACAAGGUAUGUGGAUUCUCCAGGUUGCCAGGCUAAAGCUAAAGCUAUACAUCUUCCUUGGCCUUAUUCCCUUAUUUCCCC